CUGGCUCAGGAUAAACGCUGGCGGCGCACAUAAGACAUGCAAGUCGAACGGACUAACUCAUUCUUUAGAUUGAGAGCGGUUAGUGGCGGACUGGUGAGUAACACGUAAGCAACCUGCCUAUUAGAGGGGGAAUAACAACGAGAAAUCGUUGCUAAUACCGCAUAAGCUGAUAGUAUCGCAUGAUACAGUCAGAAAAGGAGCAAUCCGCUAAUAGAUGGGCUUGCGUCUGAUUAGCUAGUUGGUGGGGUAACGGCCUACCAAGGCGACGAUCAGUAGCCGAGCUGAGAGGCUCUACGGCCACAUUGGGACUGAGAUACGGCCCAGACUCCUACGGGAGGCAGCAGUCGGGAAUAUUGCGCAAUGGAGGAAACUCUGACGCAGUGACGCCGCGUAUAGGAUGAAGGUUUUCGGAUUGUAAACUAUUGUCGUUAGGGAAGAAAUUUGACAGUACCUAAGGAGGAAGCUCCGGCUAACUAUGUGCCAGCCGCCGC
rnacentral:rRNA from 1 species